rnacentral:rRNA from 1 species
GAUGAACGCUAGCUACAGGCUUAACACAUGCAAGUCGAGGGGUAACGAGAGGAAAGCUUGCUUUCCUUGUCGACGACCGGCGCACGGGAGAGUAACGCGUAUCCAACCUGCCCCCAACUAAGGAAUAACCUUGCGAAAGUAAGACUAAUACCUUAUAAUUUCUACAGACGACAUCUGACGAGGAAUAAAGAUUUAUCGGUUGUGGAUGGGGAUGCAUCUGAUGGGCUUGGUGGCGGGGUAACGGCCCACCAAGGCAACGAUCAGUAGGGGUUCUGAGAGGAAGGUCCCCCACAUUGGAACUGAGACACGGUCCAAACUCCUACGGGAGGCAGCAGUGAGGAAUAUUGGUCAAUGGGCGGAAGCCUGAACCAGCCAAGUAGCGUGCAGGAUGACGGCCCUAUGGGUUGUAAACUGCUUUUAUACAGGAAUAAAGUUAGCCACGUGUGGUUAUUUGUAGGUACUGUAUGAAUAAGGACCGGCUAAUUCCGUGCCAGCCGCCGCAGUAA